rnacentral:rRNA from 1 species
GUUAAGCGACUAAGCGUACACGGUGGAUGCCCUGGCAGUCAGAGGCGAUGAAGGACGUGCUAAUCUGCGAUAAGCGUCGGUAAGGUGAUAUGAACCGUUAUAACCGGCGAUUUCCGAAUGGGGAAACCCAGUGUGUUUCGACACACUAUCAUUAACUGAAUCCAUAGGUUAAUGAGGCGAACCGGGGGAACUGAAACAUCUAAGUACCCCGAGGAAAAGAAAUCAACCGAGAUUCCCCCAGUAGCGGCGAGCGAACGGGGAGCAGCCCAGAGCCUGAAUCAGUGUGUGUGUUAGUGGAAGCGUCUGGAAAGGCGCGCGAUACAGGGUGACAGCCCCGUACACAAAAAUGCACAUGCUGUGAGCUCGAUGAGUAGGGCGGGACACGUGGUAUCCUGUCUGAAUAUGGGGGGACCAUCCUCCAAGGCUAAAUACUCCUGACUGACCGAUAGUGAACCAGUACCGUGAGGGAAAGGCGAAAAGAACCCCGGCGAGGGGAGUGAAAAAGAACCUGAAACCGUGUACGUACAAGCAGUGGGAGCACGCUUAGGCGUGUGACUGCGUACCUUUUGUAUAAUGGGUCAGCGACUUAUAUUCUGUAGCAAGGUUAACCGAAUAGGGGAGCCGAAGGGAAACCGAGUCUUAACUGGGCGUUAAGUUGCAGGGUAUAGACCCGAAACCCGGUGAUCUAGCCAUGGGCAGGUUGAAGGUUGGGUAACACUAACUGGAGGACCGAACCGACUAAUGUUGAAAAAUUAGCGGAUGACUUGUGGCUGGGGGUGAAAGGCCAAUCAAACCGGGAGAUAGCUGGUUCUCCCCGAAAGCUAUUUAGGUAGCGCCUCGUGAAUUCAUCUCCGGGGGUAGAGCACUGUUUCGGCAAGGGGGUCAUCCCGACUUACCAACCCGAUGCAAACUGCGAAUACCGGAGAAUGUUAUCACGGGAGACACACGGCGGGUGCUAACGUCCGUCGUGAAGAGGGAAACAACCCAGACCGCCAGCUAAGGUCCCAAAGUCAUGGUUAAGUGGGAAACGAUGUGGGAAGGCCCAGACAGCCAGGAUGUUGGCUUAGAAGCAGCCAUCAUUUAAAGAAAGCGUAAUAGCUCACUGGUCGAGUCGGCCUGCGCGGAAGAUGUAACGGGGCUAAACCAUGCACCGAAGCUGCGGCAGCGACGCUGAUGCGUUGUUGGGUA